rnacentral:rRNA from 1 species
UGGCUCAGAACGAACGCUGGCGGCGUGCCUAACACAUGCAAGUCGAACGAGAAAGUGGAGCAAUCCAUGAGUAAAGUGGCGACCGGGUGAGUAACACGUGACUAACCUACCUCCGAGUGGGGAAUAACUCCGGGAAACCGGGGCUAAUACCGCAUAACAUCGCAAGAUCAAAGCAGCAAUGCGCUUGGAGAGGGGGUCGCGGCUGAUUAGCUAGUUGGCGGGGUAACGGCCCACCAAGGCGAAGGGCAAUAUCCGGCCUGAGAGGGCGCACGGACACACUGGAACUUUUUCUCGGUCCAGAGAACUACGGGAGGCA